CCCCAGCCUGUAUGUAUGCUGUGGAUUCCUUCUCCCAAGGUGCAGCACCCUGCAUUUGUCUACACUGAACCCCAUCCUAUUCUCAUCUGCCCACUUUUGUAGUCUGUCUAAAUCUAGUUGCAGCCUCUCUCCCUUCAAGUAUGUCCACCUCACCCCACAUCUUAGUGUCAUCAGCAAAUUUGGACAGCGUGCUUUCCACCCCCUCGUCCAAGUCGCUGAUGAAGAUGUUAAAGUGUGGGCCCGAGUACCGAGCCCUGGGGUACCCCACUGCUCACAUCUCGCCAGGUUGAGUACGACCCAUCCACCGCUACUCUCUGGGUGCGCCCCAUCAGCCAAUUUACCAUCCAACAUUGUGCAGGCAUCAAUGCCGCAGUCGCUUAAUUUAUUGAUGAGGGUGGGGUGAGAGACAGUGUCAAAGGCCUUCUUAAAGUCUAGAAAGACUACAUCCACAGCGACACCAUCAUGCAAGGAUUUAGUUACUUGGUCAUAAAAGGCAAUCAGGCUGGUCAGGCAGGACCUGCCUUUGAUGAACCCAUGCUGAUUCCCCUGAGCAUGAUCUCCUCUGCUGGCCCCCCCACAGAUGUGCUCCUUGAUGAUUCUCUCCAUGAUCUUCCCAAGCACCGAGAUGAGGCUUACAGGCCUAUAGUUACUUGGGUCCUCCUUCCUCCCCUUCUUAAAAACUGGGACCACAUUAGCCAGUUUCCAAUCCCCCGGCACCUGGCCAGAUGACCACAAAUGCUCAUACAGCCAGGCCAAGGGCUCUGCGAUGACCCCUGCCAGCUCCCUCAACACCCUUGGGUGGAGGGCAUCUGGACCUGCAGAUUUAAACAUGUCUAGCCCUUCCAGAAGAUCCCUAACUACAUCUGCACUGACUGAAGGCCUGACAGAGCUAUCCCCAAGAUUGUCCCUACCUCUGGUAGGUGGGAUAUCCUGGUCCCUGUUCAGGAAAACAGAGGCAAAGAAACUGUUAAAAAUAUCAGCUCUCUCAUCUGGUGUGGCCACCAGAUUACCAUUUGUGUCUUGCAGGGGCCCUACAUUGUCUGGUGCCCUCUUCUUGCUCCAAAUGUACUUGAAAAAGGACUUUUUGUUGUCCUUAAUCCUGGACGCUAGCCUGAGUUCCAUCUCUACCUUGGCCUUCCUAAUAGCCCUCCUACACUCCUGGGCCGAGGAGGAGUACUCCUGCUCCAGCUGAUUGUGAGCAUUCAGGAAAACUGAGGGAAACCUCCAGGCUAGUGGUUCUCAACCUUUUUAGAGUUGAGACACCCCUCACAAAAUGCCAGCCCUUAGUUUUCCCUCUUUUUUUACUACAAAAAAAAAAAAAGAGCAAUUCUUCUGUUACAAAGAGCUCAUAAAACUCACAAGUCAGAAUAUUUUUGACACCAUAUUUCCUUUUUGAAAUCCCUGGGUUUAUCUUGUGCAGCACCCUGGCUGAGAAUCACUGCUUUAGCCUACUGACCCAAACCAACCCACAUCACUGAUGGCCAAUAGUAGGUACCGUGCGUUAUUGUCUUGGACAAAAGGAAUAAGUAAAUUACCUCAAUUUGGUUCCUAGUGGACAGAUGUCCACCAUUAUCUAGCACAGCUGGCCCUCACUGUCCCCCACCCCCCACUUGGCAUGGCAGUCUCUGGAGGAUUCAGCAGGGCCAAAAACAGGAUGAUCCCCUCAGUCCAGAGCAUGGGCCAGGCAGGUCAACUCGAGGCACAUUAGCAGAGCAGUUUGGAGAGACGCUUAGACUGGCAUGGUCUCAGCCCUCUGCCAUUUCUGCAAGCAUCAGCCUUCUCCCAAACUGCCAGGCUAGUACUUUGCACCACGGCAAAGCUCCCUACUUAAAAAUGAGACAGCAAAAGGCACAGGAAAUCCAGAGUAAGCUAGCAGGAGCAUGCAGGGCAGCCCUGGACUUUGGAUUUCAGACUAGUCAUUGCUUAUUCAACUCCAGUUCUGAAAGCGCCUGCCUCUGUGCGAAGAGAGAGCGCGCGCGACUGGCAAGGUCAGGGCAGGGGGGAGGGACAUUCAGCUGCUGGAAUGAGAGGAAGGUGGAGCUGCAGCUCCCUUGGCAUCAGCACAGACAGCUGCAACAAGGAGUGCUGGCCUGCAGCAGGGAGUGAAGGAAGGGAAGGGGGGGUUCCAGUUUCCAAAGCCCUGGCCAUUACUUGCAGCCGGUCGUCACAACUGGAGUUUGGCAGAAAUCUAAGCCUUCUUCACUGGCCACGUGAAUGGAAGCUGAACCGGAGCUCAGCAGCUGGUGCUUGCUACAGUGCACACUGUAGCAUGGUACCAUCUCAGAGAUCAUGGUGUCACUCUGAAGCUGCAACAUGACUGUCUUCCAGUUGUGCCACAAAAGGAAAAUAGGAUUAGCCACUGCCUGACUGGCAGCUUCAACUGCUCCUGCUUUAUGGUGCCUGGCAGCACUAGCAAGGGGAGAGAAUGGAUUCAUUAAGCUCUAAAGAGGUGCUGCAGAGGGACCACCGAUUCCCCUGGAUCCACUCUCCCAUCCCAAACACAGCCUCAAACAAGUGCUUGGUCAGCUUGUACCCACUGAAAUGCUCACAGCAGUAAUGUUUCAGGCACAUCCCAACGUGAUGUGCUUGUUCCACAGGGGUUUGUCUGCAGACCCUGCUGCCUGUAAAGACAAAUGACACAAUUGCUACAGAUUAAUCCACCCCAGAUUUUACUCCAUAGUAAGGGCCUGACAGCCUAUCAACUCUCCCACUGGCUGCCUGAGGUUGGUGCGCCUAGUCACUAGGGGUGCCUGUAGAUACAGCCCAUCAGGGCAGACUCGAUCAAUCAAGUCUGCUGAAACAUGCUAAUUAGUGCACUCCAGCAGCCUCUGCCUCUUGUGUGUUCAGUGCCCCCGUGCUUCAAAAUGUCAGUGGAGGUGCUUUAACUAAAGCUUGUCAAAUGAGCUUUAGUUAAAGUGCCCUUGCUGCCAUUUUGAAGCAUGGGAUGCUGAAUACACAAGACGCCACAGGUGCUUUAAUUAGAGCAGCUCUUGGAUCCACUCUAAUUAAAGCACCACCCCCCUGCUGACACACGUAAAGAUGCCCUAGGAGAUGGGGGAGCCAGUUUGCAUUGAGCAAAGGACUACUCUGUGGUUUGAAAUAGGUAUACAAAUCCAGUGUAAUUUACACUCGAGUAGCUUUACCUUGAAGCAGAGUAAUUUACACCAAAAAAGGCUGUGCCUCACGUAGUCCAUACCAACCAUUCCACCCACAGGCCUGUGUUUGAUCAAGUCACUUUUCUAUCAAUUCUUCCCAUCAAAAGCCUAUACUAAUAUCUGGCUCUUUUCCAGCAUCUUUCAUGUGAGAAUUUCAAGAUACAGAAUGGAUUUUGAAUGAGCUCUGCAACAUCAUUUCAAAGCAGGCAUUUUUAUCACCCUUUCACAGAGAGGGAAACUAUCUCAGAAAGCUUAAGUGAUCCAGUCACAUAAAGCACCAAUGGAAGGAAGUAAUAGAAAUAAAAUGCCUUGAGCUCUGUUCUUCCCAAUUCAAUCAUUCAACUAUAUUUCCCCUUCCUUCUGAAACCCCAGGCAGUUAUAGGACACUCAUAUAAAAGGUCCACCCUAUUUCUGUAGAGGUAAAAUAGCUCUCUGCUCUUUAUGUGGUUACCUGUAAAAGGUCUGCUCCACUGCACUUGAAUCAGUUCCCUCUCAUGGCCUUUACCCUGCCUUACAGCUGAAAGGGGACAGCAGAUUUACACUUUAUAGAUGAAGUGAACCAGAGAUGCAUGAACUUUUUUACAAGCAGCAGUUUACUUGAGCCUAACAGUGUUGCAUAACUGACUGACACAGGAAAAUCCAGAAGGAAGCAGCUUUAGACACUUUCAACCACAAGCCCCUAUGCACUGAAUUUAGGAAACCAUAAGUGGCUGUUUGUUCUGAUCACGGGUUGUAACCAAGCAAUUUCCCCAGCCAAUCAGAGCCAAGUAGUGCUAAAUUAAUCUAGCAGGCAUAAGGUACUGAACUUGUUUAUCGCUCUGACAUCUGACACCAGAGCAAAAAACUUUCAGACCUUCAACCGCCAUCGUUGGAGGGUAGGAGGAGCUUUCGACACAAACAGCUGCAAUCUCACAGCUCGCAGCCUGGAACUAGAGCCACUCCCUGCAAAGGGUACAGAGCCUGGGCUUGGAAGGGAGCGGACAAGGAGGACUGACCAUGCUGGGGUUUCAGCGUGCCUUCAGGUUGCUCCAUGCAACAAUGAGGAAUCAGAUUGUUCCCAGAGGGAACUAUAUGUCCAAACCACCAGAGGAAAUACUCACUCCAGCUGACCAAGCCAUUGGACUAAUUGUGAUGUUCUCGGUCUUCCUGAUUCCAUCAGGCUGGAUUCUAGCACACAUUCAGGACUACAAAGCCCACCAGAAUGAGUGAAGGACAGGGAGGAGGAACCUUUUCCAAGCCCAGAGCCAAAGGAUGGGAAUGAAGACUAUUGAACAGAUCCUUUCACAGGAAGCUGCUCUUUUAUAAUUAAAGCAUUAUGAAAAAAACCCA